rnacentral:rRNA from 1 species
AGGGGCAACUCUGUUGAGUGGCGCACGGGUGAGUAACACGUAGGUAAUCUUCCCCCGAGUGGUGGAUAACCUUCCGAAAGGAGGGCUAAUACAGCAUAAGACCACGGUUUCGAAAGAGACUGAGGUCAAAGCGGAGGAUCGCAAGACUUCGCGCUUGGGGAUGAGCCUGCGGCCCAUCAGGUAGUUGGCGGGGUAAUGGCCCACCAAGCCUAAGACGGGUAGCUGGUCUGAGAGGAUGAUCAGCCACACUGGAACUGAGACACGGUCCAGACUCCUACGGGAGGCAGCAGUGGGGAAUCUUGCGCAAUGGACGAAAGUCUGACGCAGCGACGCCGCGUGGGUGACGAAGGCCUUCGGG